rnacentral:lncRNA from 1 species
AUAUAUAUAUAUAUAUAUAGUUGAACUAGAAUACUCUCAAUAGUAAACGGAGUGUUUUACUAUCGAGUUGUUUUUUAUGAUAGAGCUUCCAAAUUGACGAUCGGUUCCGUUAAAUAUGAUCUAAACCAUUUAAACUAUCUAGAAAUCAAAUUUCACGCACUUUCGAUAUAUUUCUUUAUCCAUCUAUGAACAGAAAAUGAAUGGUUGAAAAUGAAUAUUCUUUAAAAAAUGGUGAUAGGAGUCUUGUAAUCAAGAUCAAGAGUAUAGAUCUUGUUUUAAAUAGUUUAAAGAAUUUUCUAACAAAAAUUCAAUUGAUUUGGAUAUUUACACCGUUAAACGAGAAAACGUCUCUUAUCCACCAUUACAAUUACAAAUUUUGAAACCCUUUGAUCAUUAGGCAAAUGAUGUCGAAAAGAUUUGAAAUUUGAUUUCUAAACA